UACGGGGGGGGCAAGCGUUGUUCGGAAUUACUGGGCGUAAAGGGCUCGUAGGUGGCCAACUAAGUCAGACGUGAAAUCCCUCGGCUUAACCGAGGAACUGCCGUCCAAACUGCUUUGCUUGAGACCGGGAGAGGUGAGUGGAAUUCCCAGUGUAGCGGUGAAAUGCGUAGAUAUUGGGAGGAACACCAGUGGCGAAGGCGGCUCACUGGACCGGUACUGACGCUGAGGCGCGAAAGCGUGGGGAGCGAACAGG
rnacentral:rRNA from 1 species